GGGCGAAUGGCGGAACUGGCAGACGCGCUAGACUUAGGAUCUAGUCCUUAACAGGGUGGGGGUUCAACUCCCCCUUCGCCCA
rnacentral:tRNA from 1 species